UAGGGAAUAUUGGACAAUGGGCGAAAGCCUGAUCCAGCAACGCCGCGUGCGCGAUGACGGCCUUCGGGUUGUAAAGCGCUUUUAGAGGAGAUGAGAAAGGACAGUAUCCUCUGAAUAAGCCUCGGCGAACUACGUGCCAGCAGCCGCGGUAAAACGUAGGAGGCUAGCGUUAUCCGGAUUUAUUGGGCGUAAAGCGCGUGCAGGCGGUCUGGUAAGUUGGAUGUGAAAGCUCCUGGCUUAACUGGGAGAGGUCGUUCAAUACUGUCAGACUAGAGAAUGGGAGAGGGAGGUGGAAUUCCGGGUGUAGUGGUGAAAUGCGUAGAUAUCCGGAGGAACACCAGUGGCGAAGGCGGCCUCCUGGACCAUUCCUGACACUCAGACGCGAAAGCUAGGGUAGCAAACG
rnacentral:rRNA from 1 species